UGUCUAGAAUAUUUUCAAAACUCCAAUAAACAAAAGAAACCCCUGCUCCAAAUUCUCUUUCGUUGUCUGUGCUGUAACGACACGGGGAGACCUGAGACAGCCGGGCCUGCUCCCGUCCGGGACCCUCGUGCCGGACAUCUCGGGAGGGCCGGGAAACGCUGCCCUGCCUCAGACACCGCGUUUCAGAGCGGGCCGAGGUUCGGUAGGUCCGAUCUGAAGUCCGUGUAAGCCGGCCUGGGCUGCAGCUGCUGGAGAGACGCCUGCGAACACGGCCAGCAGGACACACCAUGGGGAUAUCCAAGCUCCAGGCCUUUCUGGAUCUCUGGUGCUGAUGUUGGGCUGCUGUGGGACACAUACUGAAGCUCUCCCCUCAAGGCAGACACUGAAGCAUCCCAUGCUCGAAGUUUUCAACAGCACAGACAGCCUGGUCUGAGGUAACACCCACCCCCUUAAACUUUGCUGUCUGUGAGAAAGGAGAUAGACUACACUGAAAAACAGAGGGCAUACAUGCAGUAAGAUGAACAAUGUACACGUGCACAAUGUACAUAUGUGCAUGUACUGAAAAGAGUCUUUGCGCAACUUUCCCAUCAUCGGGACAAGCCUGAGUUGGUGGAAGGGCCUUGUCCUUGCAGACUUCGACAGCACAUGAUGAACUUGGUGGAAUUGGAACUUGUUGGAUCCGCUGAAGUCAUUGACAAUCCCUUGCUGAUGUCACUGACACCAGGAUUUCCCCAAAUAACUGAAUAUUUCAGCCACUAA
rnacentral:lncRNA from 1 species